GCUACGAAGAGGAAGUAAGAGAGAGUGUGUAAGAGCAGAGGGAAUACAUGAUAACAUAGAGGAAAGCCUAACUAGUUCUUCACCUCUUGUCUUGAGGUGGCGAUUCGGUUUCGUACUUCCCGAUGCCUCUCAUUCCUAUCAUUCUUAGGCACUCCUUCCUCUUCCUUUUUGCU
rnacentral:pre_miRNA from 1 species